AAUCAACAAUCACAACUUGACAAAUUUUUAUACAUCAUCUUAAUCCUUGACAUAAAAUAAAAGAAUUUGACCACUUAAUUUUUCCCAGAAUCGUAUCUAUUUUUAGUAACAGCCUCAUUUGCAUAAUUCUGUAAAUUCAUAAUGAAACCAAGGAAAAAUCCAACUUUUUUAUGCCUUUUAAGAAUGACCCAGAAGCAUAUUAAAUGGGGUAGUUGAGUUUUUAGAGUAAUGUCAGCUGAAACUCAUCCAUUUUACUAUGUUAUGAUCAAUACAAAUGAAAAUUUAAACGAUUUGGCACAUUGCCAGGAGCAGGGACACAAAGGCGGGGUUUUUCAUACAUGAAUUUACAUGGUUUUCAUUCGCUUCUAUCUUGCAAGACCCAUUCCGGAUUUGUUUGCAACUUAUAUCGGUUUUAACUAUGGGGUAUGUUUUAUAUCAAAACAAAAUAUUAAGCUUGGCAAAUGACUAUUAUAUGUUAAUUUAUGCCUUGGAAGAAUGGUGAUUUUAGUCCCAAAUUGACACAUUUUGAUUUUGAUUUUAAUUAAAUUCUAAACACAAUUGGUACUAAAAUGGCUCAUAAAAUCAUUCGAACAAGUAAAAUCAAUUUGUCUGAAAAAUGAAAUAAGACGUAUUUGUACUGCAAGUCCAAAAAUCAAUAAAUUGUCUGAAACCAGGGAGUCCAUCUUUUAUGCUCUUCCAUUGACUUAUCUCCCUUGGGUAAGAUCUCAAACAUGUCAGCUCCCAGUGAUGGUUUGGCAGACAAAUGUUUACAGUGAAGUUUGUGACUUCAAUAAUCUAGGAUGAGCAUGUGGGCUAUUCCAGCCUUAUACAUCUACAUAUUACAAACUAUUUAAGAUAUCUGAAUGCACUAAAGACCAAAAUAGCAUUUCCAAAAAAAAAUAAUUACUGCCAAGAAAUUUGACAAUCAUGACAAUAAUUUAGUGAAUAAACAUGAUAAAUAUUGAUUGGAAAAAUAAGUCCAUGAACAGCAAAAAGUGUUUUUAGAUUUCAACGAGCAAAACAAAAGUAUUCCAAAUCAUUCUUCGUAAAAAAAAAAGUGAGCCAGUGGAACCACCUUGCUCGCACCAAAAUUGAGAUUGAGAGUGUCAAAACUGCUCUGGCGCACCAUCAAUAAAUCAACGACACUCUCUCUACGGUAGACUCUACCGUGGUAUUGAAACCAGCAUUGGUAACCAAACAUAUUCAUACAGAUACAGACUACCAUUCAUCUAUAUUUAGGAAGUCUGAAUAAUACUGAAAACUUAAUGGUGUAGAAUUUCCAACAGGACUCCUUAUUUUAUAUAAGACAAGGAGUGGUUUAUUUUCCCAUGGUUGUUACAUCAUCUUGUCUUUGAAUAUGCUCGAAGUACAGGGACUUUUAUGGAAUUCAUUGACAUGAUAGUCAAGCAAGAUGUCAACAUCUCGUCCAACCCUCUUCCAGCAAAGCCAAAGCUGACCAAGGAUCUUCACCCUUUCAAAACAGGCUGUAUACAGGACGAGUUAUUCCAGUAGGAACAGGGCUAUAUAUAUGCAAGCAAUGCUCAAUUAAGAUGAAUUUUUGUAAAAGUGACAAUAGCCAGGUCAAACUAAAUACAUGUAUAGAAGAAGAUAUUGAUCUAGACUCGCAGCUAACCUUUCUGUCAGUGUCAACAACAACUGAACUUUCACAGCAGUCAACAUCAGAUUGGGAGACUGAUAAUGCUUCUAACAGAAACAAUUUCAACCAACCAAACAAGCAACAGAAACUUUCCAACUUUAAAACAUCAGUUAAAUCUUCCAGGGGAUGAUGUCUCAAAAAAUAACAGUUCAUCAUUUAUGGAGAUUUUAAUGUUAUGGUUUUUCUUUUACAAGAAAGUUAAUGUACACUUGUUUUAUAGUAAAACCUAUAGCUGUCCAAGUAUAAAAAAACACAUUCAACUUUAUUGAAAUUGGAAGAUUCAUAUGACUUAUUUUAAUUCUGUUAUCUCCGAGGAUGUGAUGUAGAGCAUUAUAGGUACAGUAAUCUUAACAGCUAUCCAAUUUCAUUCAAAAUUCUUUAUAAAUUUUGCACUGGUAUAUAUAGACUAAGUAAUUUGUUUUUCGUCUAGUUAUGGGAUUUUUUUAUACCCCACGCAACGAGUUGCGGAGGGUAUAAUGUUUUUGACCCGUCCGUCCGUCUGUCCGUCCAUCCGUCAGUCCGUCAGUCCUGUUUCUUGUCAUCGCAACUCCUCUCAAACCACACAACAGAAUUUCACGAAACCUUUUUAGAUAAUAAGGACAUACUACGUAGAUGUGCAUAUCGACAGGAAAUUACGAUUUAAUUUUUUUUCCAGGAGUUACGCCCCUUUGAACUUAUUUACUUUAAUGUACUACUGCAACAGUUUGUCAUCGCAACUCCUCUCAAACCUCACAACAGAAUUUCAUGAAACCUUUUCAGAUAAUAAGGACAUACUACGUAGAUGUGCAUAUCGACAGGAAAUUACGAUUUAAUUUUUUUUCCAGGAGUUACGCCCCUUUGAACUUAUUUGCCCAAUAUACUACUGCAACCUUUUGUCAUCGCAACUCCUCUCAAACCACACAACAGAAUUUCAUGAAACCUUUUCAGAUAAUAAGGACAUACUACGUAGAUGUGCAUAUCGACAGGAAAUUACGAUUCAAUUGUUUUUCCAGGAGUUACGCCCCUUUGAACUUUUUUGCCCAAUAUACUACUGCAACCUUUUGUCAUUGCAACUCCUCUCAAACCACACAACAGAAUUUCAUGAAACCUUUUCAGGUAAUAAGGACAUACUACGUUGAUGUGCAUAUCGACAGGAAAUUACGAUUCAAUUUUUUUUCCAGGAAUUACGCCCCUUUGAACUUAUUUGCCCAAUAUACUACUGCAACCUUUUGUCAUCGCAACUCCUCUCAAACCACACAACAGAAUUUCAUGAAACUGUGUAGAUAAUAAGGACAUACUAGGUUGAUGUGCAUAUUGACAGGAAAUUAUGAUUCAAUUUUUUUUUCUGAUACAAUUUUUUUUUUCUUACACUUAUUUUAUUUCUCCAAUGACAAUGUGGGGACGUGGGGUAUGUGAGCGCGCUCACUAAGGUUCUUUCAUUUUAGAAGCACUCAUGAUUUUCAUGUUUGUAUUGACCACAUUGCAGCAACAUAGAUAUAGGUACCUGGCAAAUCUUGCCUUGUUAGCAUACUAGGCUCAAAGGGUCAUAAAAAAAUGUCCAUCACUAACUGUCUGUUAAAAUCAUGUUUACAGUUUUCACUUUUAAACCAUCAUCUUAAUAACUUUAGAAGAAGUGUCAUACAUAUAUAUAUAUGUAUACAAAAUUUAAAAACUUUUCAAUAUAUAUAUAGAUUCUACCACUGCAUCGAGUGUGAUACGAUAUUUAUCCACUCGAGACAGUUAAAUUUUCAAAUUUAAAACGCGAGGCUCGCCGAGCGUUUUAAAUAUUUAAAAUUUAACUGUCGAGAGUGGAUAAAUAUCGUAUUACACGAGAUUUGGUGGUGGAAUCUGUUUCUCUAAUGAUUUUCAAACAAUACGCAGGCAAAUUUAUUCCUUCUUUUCGAAUGAUCUGCAAAAAGAUGUGUUCUUUCUAUGUGACGUCAUCAGGCAUGGUCGCCUUUUUUCAUGCCGUCACAAUAGGAAAUUCAGAGGAGAGCAAGAAAAUUCGACGUCAUAAUCGGAUUUUAACCAAUGAAGAACUGAGAUCAAACGAACCACAUGUUGAUUAAAUUUUUUUUUAUACAAUGGGUGCAGAAAGGGAUAAAUUGACGAAGAAUUAGAGAAAUAUAUAUAUAUUUGAUAAAAACUAUCAACAUGACAAGAUCUAAAUACCCAAAAUUUUUCUGAAAAAUUGGACAUAACAUCUAUGAGCUAUUGUCCCUGAAAUGUGUAAAUUUACAAAUUUUCACAGUUUUCUGCUACUAUCCGACAACUAUAUCAAUAUAUUAUAAGAAUAAAUUGCAAAAGUGGUCAGAAGAAACUUUUUUUUUACAGUCUAAACUUAUUCUGAAUUGUUUAACUUCUAAUUUAAAUUGAUUGCGUUUGAAAUAUGUGUUUUUUAUCGUUUUAGGUGCACAAUUUGUCAAUACGAUCUAUUUGAGCUCCUGGGAGCCUCUAGAUUUAUAAUGAAUAAUUUGUUUUUAUGUAUGAUUAUUUUCUUAAUGUAUUAAAUGAAACAUUAAUUAUUCUU